rnacentral:rRNA from 1 species
GGGUUGUGAGGUUAAGCGACUAAGCGUACACGGUGGAUGCCCUGGCAGUCAGAGGCGAUGAAGGGCGUGCUAAUCUGCGAUAAGCGCCGGUAAGGUGAUAUGAACCGUUAUAACCGGCGAUACCCGAAUGGGGAAACCCAGUGUGACUCGUCACACUAUCAUUAACUGAAUCCAUAGGUUAAUGAGGCGAACCGGGGGAACUGAAACAUCUAAGUACCCCGAGGAAAAGAAAUCAACCGAGAUUCCCCCAGUAGCGGCGAGCGAACGGGGAGGAGCCCAGAGCCUGAAUCAGCAUGUGUGUUAGUGGAAGCGUCUGGAAAGGCGCGCGAUACAGGGUGACAGCCCCGUACACAAAAGCGCAUGUGCUGUGAGCUCGAUGAGUAGGGCGGGACACGUGGUAUCCUGUCUGAAUAUGGGGGGACCAUCCUCCAAGGCUAAAUACUCCUGACUGACCGAUAGUGAACCAGUACCGUGAGGGAAAGGCGAAAAGAACCCCGGCGAGGGGAGUGAAAAAGAACCUGAAACCGUGUACGUACAAGCAGUGGGAGCACAGGUUUACCUGUGUGACUGCGUACCUUUUGUAUAAUGGGUCAGCGACUUAUAUUCUGUAGCAAGGUUAACCGAAUAGGGGAGCCGGAGGGAAACCGAGUCUUAAUUGGGCGUUAAGUUGCAGGGUAUAGACCCGAAACCCGGUGAUCUAGCCAUGGGCAGGUUGAAGGUUGGGUAACACUAACUGGAGGACCGAACCGACUAAUGUUGAAAAAUUAGCGGAUGACCUGUGGCUGGGGGUGAAAGGCCAAUCAAACCGGGAGAUAGCUGGUUCUCCCCGAAAGCUAUUUAGGUAGCGCCUCGUGAAUUCAUCUCCGGGGGUAGAGCACUGUUUCGGCUAGGGGGCCAUCCCGGCUUACCAACCCGAUGCAAACUGCGAAUACCGGAGAAUGUUAUCACGGGAGACACACGGCGGGUGCUAACGUCCGUCGUGAAGAGGGAAACAACCCAGACCGCCAGCUAAGGUCCCAAAGUCAUGGUUAAGUGGGAAACGAUGUGGGAAGGCCCAGACAGCCAGGAUGUUGGCUUAGAAGCAGCCAUCAUUUAAAGAAAGCGUAAUAGCUCACUGGUCGAGUCGGCCUGCGCGGAAGAUGUAACGGGGCUAAACCAUGCACCGAAGCUGCGGCAGCGACACUGUGUGUUGUUGGGUAGGGGAGCGUUCUGUAAGCCUGUGAAGGUGUGUCGUGAGGCAUGCUGGAGGUAUCAGAAGUGCGAAUGCUGACAUAAGUAACGAUAAAGCGGGUGAAAAGCCCGCUCGCCGGAAGACCAAGGGUUCCUGUCCAACGUUAAUCGGGGCAGGGUGAGUCGACCCCUAAGGCGAGGCCGAAAGGCGUAGUCGAUGGGAAACAGGUUAAUAUUCCUGUACUUGGUGUUACUGCGAAGGGGGGACGGAGAAGGCUAUGUUGGCCGGGCGACGGUUGUCCCGGUUUAAGCGUGUAGG